CACGCCCUAAACGAUGCGAACUGGACGUUGGGCACACUUAGGUGCUCAGUGUCGAAGCUAACGCGUUAAGUUCGCCGCCUGGGGAGUACGGUCGCAAGACUGAAACUCAAAGGAAUUGAC
rnacentral:rRNA from 1 species